UACGUAGGGUGCAAGCGUUAAUCGGAAUUACUGGGCGUAAAGCGUGCGCAGGCGGUUAUGUAAGUCAGAUGUGAAAUGCCCGGGCUUAACCUGGGAACUGCAUUUGUGACUGCAUGGCUAGAGUUUGGCAGAGGGGGGUAGAAUUCCACGUGUAGCAGUGAAAUGCGUAGAGAUGUGGAGGAACACCGAUGGCGAAGGCAGCCCCCUGGGCUAGUACUGACGCUCAUGCACAAAAGCGUGGGGAGCAAACAGG
rnacentral:rRNA from 1 species